UACGUAGGGGGCAAGCGUUGUCCGGAUUUAUUGGGCGUAAAGAGCGUGUAGGCGGCCAUACAGGUCCGUUGUGAAAACUCGAGGCUCAACCUCGAGACGUCGAUGGAAACCGUAUGGCUAGAGUCCGGAAGAGGAGAGUGGAAUUCCUGGUGUAGCGGUGAAAUGCGCAGAUAUCAGGAGGAACACCCGUGGCGAAGGCGGCUCUCUGGGACGGUACUGACGCUGAGACGCGAAAGCGUGGGGAGCGAACAGG
rnacentral:rRNA from 1 species